AUUGAACGCUGGCGGCAGGCCUAACACAUGCAAGUCGAACGAGUGGCGGACGGGUGAGUAAUGUCUGGGCAACUGCCUGAUGGAGGGGGCUAACUACUGUAAACGGUAGCUAAUACCGCAUACCAUCGGAUGUGCCCAGAUGGGAUUAGCUAGGAGGUGGGGUACAGGCUCACCUAGGCGACGAUCCCUAGCUGGUCUGAGAGGAUGACCAGCCACACGGGAACUGAGAAACGGUCCAGACGCCUACGGGAGGCAGCAGUGGGGAAUAUGGCACAAUGGGCGCAAGCCUGAUGCAGCCAUGCCGCGGGUAGGAAGAAGGCCUUCGGGUUUUAAAGUACUUUAAGCGGGGAGGCGUUACCCGCAGAAGAAGCACCGGCUAACUCCGUGCCAGCAGCCGCGGUAAUUC
rnacentral:rRNA from 1 species